GAUGAAGAACGUAGCGAAAUGCGAUAAGUAAUGUGAAUUGCAGAAUUCAGUGAAUCAUCGAAUCUUUGAACGCACCUUGCGCCCUUUGGCCAUUCCGAAGGGCAUGCCUGUUUGAGUAUCAUGAACACCUCAACUCUCAUGGCUCGCCAUGAUGAGCUUGGAUUUGGGGGUCUUGCUGGCCUGUGGUCGGCUCCUCUCAAAUGGAUCAGCUUGCCAGUGUUUGGUGGCAUCACAGGUGUGAUAACUAUCUACGCUUGUGGUUUUCCAUCAGAUAACCUUCAGUGAUGGAGGUUCGCUGGAGCUCAUAAACGUCUCCCCUAAGCGGGGACAGCCCUUUGAAUGUUUGAUCUCAAAUCAGGUAGGACUACCCGCUGAACUUAAGCAUAUCAAUAAGCGGAGGA
rnacentral:misc_RNA from 1 species